rnacentral:tRNA from 1 species
UCUUGCUUACNCCAAGAAAAUGUAUGUGAAAACCAUACCGUCUUGA